rnacentral:rRNA from 1 species
UACGUAGGGUGCAAGCGUUAAUCGGAAUUACUGGGCGUAAAGCGUGCGCAGGCGGUUAUGCAAGACAGAUGUGAAAUCCCCGGGCUCAACCUGGGAACUGCAUUUGUGACUGCAUAGCUAGAGUGCGGCAGAGGGAGAUGGAAUUCCGCGUGUAGCAGUGAAAUGCGUAGAUAUGCGGAGGAACACCGAUGGCGAAGGCAAUCUCCUGGGCCUGCACUGACGCCCAUGCACGAAAGCGUGGGGGAGCAAACAGG